rnacentral:rRNA from 1 species
UGUAGUCAUAUGCUUGUCUCAAAGAUUAAGCCAUGCAUGUCUAAGUAUAAGCAACUAUACGGUGAAACUGCGAAUGGCUCAUUAAAUCAGUUAUCGUUUAUUUGAUAGUACCUUACUACUUGGAUAACCGUGGUAAUUCUAGAGCUAAUACAUGCUAAAAACCCCGACUUCGGAAGGGGUGUAUUUAUUAGAUAAAAAACCAGCGCCCUUCGGGGCUCCUUGGUGAUUCAUAAUAACUUAACGAAUCGCAUGGCCUUGCGCCGGCGAUGGUUCAUUCAAAUUUCUGCCCUAUCAACUUUCGAUGGUAGGAUAGUGGCCUACCAUGGUAUCAACGGGUAACGGGGAAUG